rnacentral:rRNA from 1 species
GUGAGGAAUAUUGGGCAAUGGGCGAAAGCCUGACCCAGCCACGCCGCGUGAGUGAUGAAGGCCUUCGGGUUGUAAAGCUCUGUGGGGAGGGAAGAAAAAGCGGGAGAGUAACUGCUCUCGUGUUGACGGUACCUCCUUAGCAAGCACCGGCUAACUCUGUGCCAGCAGCCGCGGUAAUACAGAGUGUGCAAACGUUGCUCGGAAUUACUGGGCGUAAAGCGCGUGUAGGCUGACAUGCAAGUCGGGUGUGAAAUCCCAGGGCUCAACCUUGGAACUGCACUCGAAACUGCACGUCUUGAGUACUGGAGAGGGAAGCGGAAUUCCGGGUGUAGAGGUGAAAUUCGUAGAUAUCCGGAGGAACACCAGUGGCGAAGGCGGCUUCCUGGACAGUAACUGACGCUGAGACGCGAAAGCGUGGGGAGCAAACAGGAUUAGAAACCCGAGUAGUCC